UGAGCUGGCUAGGCAAUCGCUGCCAUAGAGUUCGUCUAGAAAUAGCGACAUUUUAUGGGAGAGGAAAGUCCGGGCUCCACAGGGUAGAGUGCCAGGUAACGCCUGGGAGGCGAAAGCCUACGGCAAGUGCAGCAGAAAAUAUACCGCCGAAGCGGCAUUGUUUAUUGAAUGCGUCAUAAAAGAUUCAUUUGAUAGGAUUAGUUUUUGGCUAAUCUUAAUAGUGUCGCUGGUAAGGUUGAAAUGGUGCGGUAAGAGCGCACCGCGCGAUAGGUAACUAUUCGUGGCAAGGUAAACCCCACUCGGAGCAAGACCAAAUAGGAAUCCAAUGGUGUGACCCGCACUGGAUUCGGGUAGGUUGCUAGAUGCAAAUGGCGACAUUUGUGCUAGAUGAAUGAUUGUCCGCGACAGAACCCGGCUUAUCGGCCGGCUCAGACU
rnacentral:RNase_P_RNA from 1 species